UAUCUCUAUUUCUAUCUCUAUCUCUAUUUUAUCACCUAUACAAUCAAUAGAGUUGGUGAAUCUUAAUGAUAUAAAAUAACUGCUUGUAAAGCUCAUUUUCUUACAGUUUUACACAGUGUCGAUAUAUAAUCAACAAGCUCUAUUUGUGAAUAUGAUUGGCGUAUGUACACAGCAACGCGAGUAUAACGAACAUCAAACCCAUUUGACACAUUUUCCACUCAAGACUGCCGUGGAUAGCCAAGGCAAUUCUCACAGUGGAAGUUGUAAGGCCUUGAUGUCUAGCUUGACAGUCAAGUUUAAGAUCUACUUCGAACUUGUUUAAAGGGAUAGCCAUGCUGGUCAAACAUCCGAGUUCGGAGGUUCGAAUUAUCCGUUGAAUUCACCAUCAAAAUUGCCACUUCCCGACAAGUGAGGUUUUAUUAUACAAAUGUUAGUUACUACUUUCUUUCAUUUUUCGUACCGAUUCCAGACUGGUGCACUGCACACGGACUCCAUAUUGGCUGGAGUAAAUAGAAAUAAUAUAUACCUGCUCUUUCAUAUUUAGAAGUAUUAUAUAGUCAGACAGCUUCUCAUUGACUGAGUUCACAAUUUUGAACAACUAAAGCUACUAUAGUAAGUUGAUUUAUAUUCAUUAUUACUAAAUACUAUAUCAAGCAGCCAUAUGAGUGUAUGAGGUUGAAGUUGUAUUCUUUUGAUUGGUGUAUCCAGACUAUACUACAUCAUGUGAUUGAUUUAGUGUCCCAAAAAGUGGUCG
rnacentral:sRNA from 1 species